rnacentral:rRNA from 1 species
GGUAUAGUUCUUCGGAACUAGAGACCGGCGCACGGGUGCGUAACGCGUAUGCAAUCUACCUUUUACAGAGGGAUAGCCCAGAGAAAUUUGGAUUAAUACCUCAUAGCAUAGCAACUUCGCAUGAAGUCACUAUUAAAGUCACAACGGUAAAAGAUGAGCAUGCGUCCCAUUAGCUAGUUGGUAAGGUAACGGCUUACCAAGGCUACGAUGGGUAGGGGUCCUGAGAGGGAGAUCCCCCACACUGGUACUGAGACACGGACCAGACUCCUACGGGAGGCAGCAGUGAGGAAUAUUGGACAAUGGGCGCAAGCCUGAUCCAGCCAUGCCGCGUGCAGGAUGACGGUCCUAUGGAUUGUAAACUGCUUUUAUACGAGAAGAAACACUCCAACGUGUUGGAGCUUGACGGUAUCGUAAGAAUAAGGAUCGGCUAACUCCGUGCCAGCAGCCGCGGUAAUACGGAGGAUCCAAGCGUUAUCCGGAAUCAUUGGGUUUAAAGGGUCCGUAGGCGGUUUAGUAAGUCAGUGGUGAAAGCCCAUCGCUCAACGGUGGAACGGCCAUUGAUACUGCUAAACUUGAAUUAUUAGGAAGUAACUAGAAUAUGUAGUGUAGCGGUGAAAUGCUUAGAGAUUACAUGGAAUACCAAUUGCGAAGGCAGGUUACUACUAAUGGAUUGACGCUGAUGGACGAAAGCGUGGGUAGCGAACAGGAUUAGAUACCCUGGUAGUCCACGCCGUAAACGAUGGAUACUAGCUGUUGGAAGCAAUUUCAGUGGCUAAGCGAAAGUGAUAAGUAUCCCACCUGGGGAGUACGUUCGCAAGAAUGAAACUCAAAGGAAUUGACGGGGGCCCGCACAAGCGGUGGAGCAUGUGGUUUAAUUCGAUGAUACGCGAGGAACCUUACCAAGGCUUAAAUGUAGAUUGACCGGUUUGGAAACAGAUCUUUCGCAAGACAAUUUACAAGGUGCUGCAUGGUUGUCGUCAGCUCGUGCCGUGAGGUGUCAGGUUAAGUCCUAUAACGAGCGCAACCCCUGUUGUUAGUUGCCAGCGAGUCAUGUCGGGAACUCUAACAAGACUGCCAGUGCAAACUGUGAGGAAGGUGGGGAUGACGUCAAAUCAUCACGGCCCUUACGCCUUGGGC